AGACCUGUUCUUGCCUGUCGAGCGACAACAACACACAGCUUAUAAAGCACCGAGACAAACUGAACAUUUAAAAACCUUCUCUUCUCUCCGUGAACACAAGAGGAUAUCAUGGACAUGACUGGCCACGAUCUCGCUUCCACCAUCGAUACCUGCGCCUACGAGCUGCGUCGGGUGGGAGACGGCUUCUACUGGAGGUACAAACUGCUGGAAAUACUCCUCAAAAACUACCACAACGUCACCAAAAUCAAGUGAGACAUGACGUAAAAGAAUAUACCUGGAAGUGGAAUUGGAUUUAUUUUUACUAAAAUGGACGGCAUUCAAAGCCAAAGCAGCAGAAGAGACUCUGAGACAGACUCUGAUAUCAUCUUGAAAAGGGAUGGAAACUUCUGGAAAAAAGCGCCCUGAUGUUUCGGAGACGCUGGAUGUGGACUGUGGUCGUUUUCAAGUCUGGAGAUAUGCAGAGAAAAGCUACAUUUAUGGGGUGUGAAUCCACCGAUGCAUGCAGAGAAAGUGCAACAUCUGGAUGGAGGUUAUCUGCUAAGAAAUGCUGAUUCUAACGUGUCUACUCUAUACAUACUUCUGUAUAUAUAUGGACAUUCAAUCUGCAUAAGUAAAUCCUCUCUUCUCUUUGUGGAGAUUGAUGUAUUUUUAUGUAUGAUCCUUGUUUAAUAAAUGCAUUAUGAAACCAAA